rnacentral:rRNA from 1 species
AGACCCGAAACCCGGUGAUCUAGCCAUGGGCAGGUUGAAGGUUGGGUAACACUAACUGGAGGACCGAACCGACUAAUGUUGAAAAAUUAGCGGAUGACCUGUGGCUGGGGGUGAAAGGCCAAUCAAACCGGGAGAUAGCUGGUUCUCCCCGAAAGCUAUUUAGGUAGCGCCUCGUGAAUUCAUCUCCGGGGGUAGAGCACUGUUUCGGCUAGGGGGCCAUCCCGGCUUACCAACCCGAUGCAAACUGCGAAUACCGGAGAAUGUUAUCACGGGAGACACACGGCGGGUGCUAACGUCCGUCGUGAAGAGGGAAACAACCCAGACCGCCAGCUAAGGUCCCAAAGUCAUGGUUAAGUGGGAAACGAUGUGGGAAGGCCCAGACAGCCAGGAUGUUGGCUUAGA